rnacentral:misc_RNA from 1 species
AUGUGAAACAUACAUUCUAGAUUUUCUAGAACAAAAUGGGUCAUCCAGAUUUUUCAUGGUUACCUAAAAUACAAGACAAGCUCAUUUUUUUGGGUUACGUGAUACUUGUUAUUCGUGACAUUCCGAGAAAUAUGUGGCGUGUUGGAAUUUUGCAAAAACGAAUGGGAAUUCGUCUCUGCGAAAUAGAAUCAAUGAA